UACGGGGGAUGCGAGCGUUAUCCGGAUUUAUUGGGUUUAAAGGGUGCGUAGGCGGAUUUUUAAGUCAGCGGUAAAAUGUCCGGGCUCAACCCGGGCCGGCCGUUGAAACUGACGCCCUUGAGUGAGUGAGAAGUAAGCGGAAUGCGUGGUGUAGCGGUGAAAUGCAUAGAUAUCACGCAGAACUCCGAUUGCGAAGGCAGCAUACCGGCGCCCGACUGACGCUGAGGCACGAAAGCGUGGGGAUCGAACAGG
rnacentral:rRNA from 1 species